CAGCAGUGGGGAAUAUUGCACAAUGGGCGCAAGCCUGAUGCAGCCAUGCCGCGUGUAUGAAGAAGGCCUUCGGGUUGUAAAGUACUUUCAGCAGUGAGGAAGGUGGGUAUGUUAAUAGCAUACUCAUUUGACGUUAGCUGCAGAAGAAGCACCGGCUAACUCCGUGCCCGCAGCCGCGGUAAUACGGAGGGUGCGAGCGUUAAUCGGAAUUACUGGGCGUAAAGCGCAUGCAGGUGGUUUGUUAAGUCAGAUGUGAAAGCCCGGGGCUCAACCUCGGAAUUGCAUUUGAAACUGGCAAACUAGAGUACUGUAGAGGGGGUAGGAAUUUCAGGUGUAGCGGUGAAAUGCGUAGAGAUCUGAAGGAAUACCGGUGGCGAAGGCGGCCCCCUCGGACAGAUACUGACACUCAGAUGCGAAAGCGUGGGGAGCAAACAGGAUUAGAUACCCUGGUAG
rnacentral:rRNA from 1 species